GACGAACGCGGGCGGCGUGCUUAACACAUGCAAGUCUAACGGAAAGGCCCUGCUUUUGUGGGGUGCUCGAGUGGCGAACGGGUGAGUAACCCGUGAGUCACCUGCCCUUGACUUUGGGAUAACUUCAGGAAACUGGGGCUAAUAACGGAUAGGAGCUCCUGCUGCAUGGUGGGGGUGGGAAAGUUUCGGCGGUUGGGGAUGGACCCGCGGCUUAUCAGCUUGUUGGUGGGGUAGUGGCUUACCAAGGCUUUGACGGGUAGCCGGCCUGAGAGGGUGACCUGCCAUAUUGGGACUGAGAUACGGCCCAGACUCCUACGGGAGGCAGCAGUGGGGAAUAUUGAACAAUGGGCGGAAGACUGACGCAGCAACGCCGCGUGCGGGAUGACGGCCUUCGCGUUGUAAACCUCUUUCGCCUGUGACGAAGCGUGGGUGACGGUAAUGGGUAAAGAAGCACCGGCUAACUACGUG
rnacentral:rRNA from 1 species